rnacentral:misc_RNA from 1 species
GAUGAAGAACGCAGCGAAAUGCGAUAAGUAGUGUGAAUUGCAGAAUUCAGUGAAUCAUCGAAUCUUUGAACGCACAUUGCGCCCCUUGGUAUCCCGAGGGGCAUGCCUGUUCGAGCGUCAUUUCACCACUCAAGCCUGGCUUGGUGUUGGGCGACGUCCCCUUUGGGGACGCGCCUCGAAACGCUCGGCGGCGUGGCACCGGCCUUAAGCGUAGCAGAAUCUUUCGCUUUGGAAGUCGGGGCCCCGUCUGCCGGAAGACCUACUCGCAAGGUUGACCUCGGAUCAGGCAGGGAUACCCGCUGAACUUAAGCAUAUCAAUAAGCGGAGGA